UUAACGUUUCAUCCGGUGUUAAUUAAUGGUAAAAAAUAACCUUAAUUUUGAUCUCAUAGAGUUAUAGUUCUCCUUUAAAAGCCUUAGAAAAAAAAUCAAAGAAAUCGGACUUGAGGGAGUUUUGUAGAACCCAUAUGACCGAAACCACGUGCCAACUUGCAAGUUACGAAGAGCGCCCAAAUUUCUCAAAAAAAAAAAAAAAAAAAAAAAAAAAGAUUUAAAACAUGCAUUGACUGUUGGACCUUUCUUGAACCCACGUGCGCGAAGACCACGUGCUAACUGCAGGUUACGUGAAGCGCCACCAACCUUUCCGAACAGAUACUUGGCAGACUCCGGAGAAGUUGGGAGAAGUGCACACCUCACUCAGAAUCGCGGAGAAAAGCGCGUUUCCCGAAAUCGAGAAUUCCGCGCACACACAUGACUUAGCUACCCUCAAUGAUUCUAACGGUGACAGCUCUGCUGGAAGCAAUGCUGACUACAAUGACUGUGAUGGCAUUUACUACGGAUCCUGGAUGCACAUUGGGGGAGUUUCACAGAUGUCUCCAAUCAUUGAUGUCUGUAACGCAAAGCAACGACUUGGCUUUCCCUGCAACUCGUCUCCAACUGCUGGCUGUUUGCAGGUUUUAAUAUGGAAUGAAUGGUAUGUCUGUAAUAAGGCGAUCUGAUGAUAGUUCUGACACCAUAAUUUCAGAAUUCAACUGAUCUUCAAAAACGAGAUUUGUAUUUUUUCAACAGUGAUAUGUCAUUACUAAGUUAUAUUAUUAAACAUAAUACUCA